AGAUUGAACGCUGGCGGCAUGCCUUACACAUGCAAGUCGAACGGCAGCACGGGAGCAAUCCUGGUGGCGAGUGGCGAACGGGUGAGUAAUAUAUCGGAACGUGCCCGGUCGUGGGGGAUAACGUAGCGAAAGCUACGCUAAUACCGCAUACGAUCUACGGAUGAAAGUGGGGGAUCGCAAGACCUCAUGCUCAUGGAGCGGCCGAUAUCUGAUUAGCUAGUUGGUGGGUAAGGGCCUACCAAGGCUUCGAUCAGUAGCUGGUCUGAGAGGACGACCAGCCACACUGGAACUGAGACACGGUCCAGACUCCUACGGGAGGCAGCAGUGGGGAAUUUUGGACAAUGGGCGAAAGCCUGAUCCAGCAAUGCCGCGUGCAGGAAGAAGGCCUUCGGGUUGUAAACUGCUUUUGUACGGAACGAAAAGGCUCUUUCUAAUAAAGAGGGCCCAUGACGGUACCGUAAGAAUAAGCACCGGCUAACUACGUG
rnacentral:rRNA from 1 species